rnacentral:tRNA from 1 species
GCCCCCGUAGCUCAGCGGAUAGAGCAGCCGCCUUCUAAGCGGUUGGUCGCAGGUUCGAGUCCUGCCGGGGGCG